UACGGGGGGGGUAAGCGUUGUUCGGAAUUACUGGGCGUAAAGGGCUCGUAGGCGGCCAACUAAGUCAUACGUGAAAUCCCUCAGCUUAACUGGGGAACUGCGUGUGAUACUGGAUGGCUUGGAUUUGGGAGAGGGAUGCGGAAUUCCAGGUGUAGCGGUGAAAUGCGUAGAUAUCUGGAGGAACACCAACGGCGAAGGCAGCACUCUGGGCUGGAACUGACGCUGAGGAGCGAAAGCGUGGGUAGCAAACAGG
rnacentral:rRNA from 1 species